rnacentral:rRNA from 1 species
AACGAACGCUGGCGGCGUGUUUAAGACAUGCAAGUCGCACGGGAUCAUUUUGGUAGCAAUACUCGAAUGGUUUAGUGGCGCACGGAUGAGUAACAUGUGAAUGACAUGCCCUAUAGUGGGGAAUAGCCCAGGGAAACUUGGAUUAAUACCCCAUGGUCUCGCAAGAGUAAAGGUGGCAGCAAGGCUGUCGCUAUAGGAUUGGUUCGCACCCUAUCAGCUUGUUGGUGAGGUAACGGCUCACCAAGGCUACGACGGGUACCUGGUCUGAGAGGACGAUCAGGCACACUGGAACUGAGACACGGUCCAGACACCUACGGGUGGCAGCAGUCGAGAAUAAUUCACAAUGGGGGCAACCCUGAUGGUGCAACGCCGCGUGGAGGAUGAAGGUCUUCGGAUUGUAAACUCCUGUCAUCUGGGAGUAAGACCUGGCCGUGAAUAGCGGACAGGGUUGAUAGUACCAGAAGAGGAAGGGACGGCUAACUUCGUGCCAGCAGCCGCAGUAA